CACAAAUUGAGAUUUGACCAAUACUGAUAACAAAAAAGUCUCAAGGUAUAAACUCAUAGUGCUAUCAAACUUUUCAAGUAAAGGGUCAGUGGGUUUCUUGGUAGAUUUGCAUGAGGACAGUUUCUGAUGAAGAUGAAGAAAGAGUCAGGAGCCGAGGUGGGUUUGGCUGGACCUGGCAGUGGACUGGACGGAUAGGACACUCAUGUCGUGGAUGCUCAUCCCUGCAGCAGUGCCAGCAAACUGUAGCGUCAGUGUCAUUUGGUCCUGUCCUCAGCAAGCACAGCUUGCUGCUCAUCGUGCUGUUCACCAUCACAGGAAAGGACAUUUUCUCUGCUUGGUGCUGUCAGGUUGCACAUUGAAGCAACUAAUUGUAUGGAAUAGGCAUUGUGUAAGGUUAGAAGAAACCUGACUCUCUGAAAGGUUUCAGAGGGGAGGUUUUGGCACCAUAGAACCCAUGACUGGGAAAUGAUUGUAUUAGCUAGCUGUAUCUCCUCUAGAUACAAAUUGCAUCCAGCUGCCUGGCCAACAAAAGGGUGAAAAGAGGAGGAAUGCUGACCACACCUUUCCUCAAGCUGUUGAUUCCCUUUUCUUUUUUUCUUUUUCUUUUUUUUUUUCUUCUUUUUUAUUUUCUGCUGAGACAAGGCAGGAAACACAAUUUAAGUUGCCAGGGUGUUGAUACACACUGGCUGUGGUCUCCAGCUCAUUACUGUGGUCAGAGAAGUGCUUGCGGUGAGAUAUUUCACUCACUCCAGAGAAACUACAUACAUCAAAGCCAUGCAAUCUCUUUCCUUGUCAUGAGCUCACAUGCUGGGCAAGAGAGCCCAGCUCAGUGUGGUCCAGAUGCUGAAAGGAGAACAGGAGACUGUACUGGGGACAGUGACCCAACAGGUGCGUGCUCCUCUGGUCAAUCUGCCUGGUCUCUUCUCUGGAGAUACUGCUUCUGGCUCCAAGAGAGCCUCCAUCAAAGCCGUAAAGCAAAACAAAAAUCUGAAAACAAAGACUCUCAAGCAGAAUGACCAGGCUGAGCAACAAAGAUAUGCAUCUCAGGUGCAGCAUCAGCACCUGGCCUGAUGCAUCCCACUGGAUAAGAGAAAGAUGGACUGGCUUUUUAAAGGCAAGGAUGGGGUGUGUAGAAGACAGCUGAAGAGGAAAGAAGAAUGGAAGCACCAAACCAGCCUUUGUGGAGUUGAAUGAAAAAGAAGCAAAGAUUUUUUUUAUUAUUUUUUUUUUCUGGGGUCAAGAUGGAGUUGAUGGAGGAAAUGCAAAUGAAUUUAACCAUUCAUGCAUCUCUUCUCAUUAAUUAAUCCCUUAUGGGAUGCAUACUUUUCUAGACACAACAGUACUAUCUGUCUGUACUGCUGUACUGAAUACCUGCGAAAAAUGAGACAUGACAUCCCAUUAGAGAGAAGAUUCCCAUUCUCCCAGAGUUGUACCAUAUUAUUCAUAGAGUUGUAAGCUACCAACAUAAUCGGCUUUACAUUUUACCUUUUGUGUUACAGGAAGUUAUCUCUGGGCAGACAAAUACUUCUGAUUUUAUAGGUGAAGGAUAUGAUGCUAUUUAAAGCUUUCCAGAGCUUGUGCAUGUGCCCCUUGUAUGUUAAAUUUUAUACAGAAACAACAAAGCUGUAGAAAUUUUUCACAUUCAAUAGUUCUGUACAUCUAGCAUAAAAAGUAGUCUGGUCAAAUAAGACUAAUAUUGGAGGCUUUAGACCGCUGUAAAUCAGAUGGAGCUGUGUUAACUAAACAGUCAAGAAAAAUUCAGUCUGAUAGCUACAGCCCUGUCCAAUGUUUUCUAGCAGGAGAAAUACUUAGAGGAAAAGUAAAGUAUUAAAAUGUGGCAGAAAUACAUAAACAAAGCUAUGCAAAUUGUUUUCAUCUGCCUGUGGUACAUGGUGCCAAUGCUUUAAGAUAAUAUUACUUAACUGCCAUGGGCAUUUUUCCCCAUCAGUCCACCUUUAGACUAUAUAAACUCAAGUAUAUAAAGCUGUGGUGCUUGAAAGUAAUGAAGUUUUUCAUUAAUAAGUAGAUAUUCAGUCUUCAUUAAGGCUUACGAUGACAUUAGCAAGCAUACAUUCUUGUUGGAACAGAUGUGUAGAAUGAACAGAAUGGACAGAAUGCCGAGUACCAGUAUCUGCACCAUACAUUUUUGCAGUGGGGAUUACUUUGAAUUAGCUAUUUUCUCAUCCUAUGGAUCAAUUUAAAUUAUGGUAUAGAAAGCAAGAGGAAUUCCUGAAGAACACCUUUUGUCUUAGUUUCAUCCAUAAGCAAAUCUAGUUUAGAUGUUCUGAGACUGCUCAGUGGAAACCAAGACAUUCAUUGUAAGUAAUGAUGCACAAGCAGAGUCUUUUUAAAAACCACUGGCAUGCUUUUUUAGAUGCAUCCUGUUUUACUGAGCAUUAGAAAAUCUGUUUUGUGUGACACAAGAAUCCAAGAAGUUCAGUUUUUUAAAUUAUUCCUAAAGCUCAAGUAAGAAAGCUCCAUCCCACUGUAGGUGUAAUGAAGCUGUCAUGCAUACAGAACAUGUAAGACAAGCUCCAAAUAACAGUAUUGUUGGCUACACGGUCUUGGAUUAUCAAUGCUUAAUUUGUAGUUUGAAGUGACUAGGCAUACCUUCCAGAGCUGAAGAUGUGCCAUGCUCUGCAUAAUUUGGUCUCAUUUACAAUAUUCUAGUACGUUCUUCAUGGUAAUUAUUCUGAGGUUAGAGGUCUGGUCUCUAGAGAUGACUGCAGUUUAGUUAUGUUUGGUUACCAGUGAGUCACCUUCUGAAAUUCGUCUCUGCACAAAAAGUAGUAUAAAGGUAUUAUUUUAUUUUUCCAUUUCAUUAAAAGAAAUCAUAAAAUAAUUUAGGUUUGAAUGGAUCUCAGAAGGCCAUCUGGACUAGCCCCUGUUCAAAGCAGGGAUAACUUCAAGUCUGCUUCAUAAUCAUAAAGCUUCAUCCAGUAGUUUAAGGAAAUCUUUUCCCACUUCCUUUCUUUUGACUGAGUGGAUGCCUACCGUCACAUCCCUCACCUCUGAUCAUAACUUAUAAGCUCUCAUUCUGUCCCUCAGCUAAUCCACAGUGAAUCUCCAUACAGGGAAGCUGCUCCUUUGUGUAGAAUGAACCCUUCCUUAUUUCACCUGUUUCUUCUUCCUGAGGACAUGUGUAGUCAUGGGACCACUCCAGUCACGUGAGCUAUUUCACCAUGUCUCUGUGAUCCCAUUGAGGUAAUGGCUCUGCUGAGGUAAGGGCCAUUUGUUUUCACCCUUGGAGCCACAUACCCACUCUUGGCAUACUUGAGAGCCUCAACAGUCUCUCUACCACGUCUCACACCUUGCUUUCUACAAGUAACAAACUUUCCAAGACAGCAAGUCUGCUUGGCAAAUGAAUGCCAGUAUCCCCUGCAGAAAGGUGUCUCUGACUAUUGCUAUUCACUUGUGGCUCUUCAUGGCACACUGAUUUUAAUACAUACAUUAGCCAGCACCAACAGCUCUACCUGCAGAACUUGUCCAUUUCCACCUGCCAUCGGGGCCAUAUGCCUCCUCUGCAACUGUGCACUUGCAGUUGGAGAAAGAGCUUUCUUCCUCUUAUUGAGUCCAUAAGCUUCCAAAAUUCAUUGUCAUUGAGUCCCACAUAUCCACUGCCUCUAAGCUGACUGUCCCCUCUUCUGUGAAAUGAAGAAUGUAUCAUCUUACCCCUACAAUGUUUUAGCAAAGAACCUGUUGUCCUCCCGUUCAUCCUGCCUUGUACUGCAUAAUCUGGCCACCUCCAUUCUUAGAUCUUUCAUCAGACAGCUAGACAAUUUGACCACAAAACACCUUCCACUGAUGAGGCAACUUUCUAGGACAGUCUGUAAAAGCAGCCUAAAGCAUCCUAUUAAAGGCCAUAUGACAUUAGAACUAUUGAUGCUAAGGAAAUGCAAAUUAUAAGCAAAAUGUGAUAUUUAAAAAUAUCAUUGUCUCUCUGAGAGGAUCAUUUAUUUAAAUUGUUUUGUAUUUUAUACAGACCUUUAUGCAGUUCAAGCCUAGAUGUAGAAAUAAUUUCUGUUUAUUUGAAUAAGGAUUUUAAAGACAAGAAAAAAAGUCAAAUGCAGGAACAGUCUUUGAGAUAAUCAGCCUCAGUGUAAAAUGUUGACUUUUCAGAUAAUUUCUCUGUUUGUGGUUCCUGGCUUUCGCAGGGUCGUUUUAAGUUUCUUGUCAAACACGUCUUGUCUUCAUGUCUCCAGCUGUAUACUACUGUAAGCACAAUCGAAGGUACUUGGAUACUUGGAGGUUGCAAGGAGUCUCUGACUUUGAGUGCUGGCUCUGCAAGCACUCAACAUGCCAAGUUUUUUUUUCUUUUUUUGUUCUUUUUUUUUCCUUUCUGUCAUGCUCUGAAAGUAGCAAGCAGGCAAGAUAUUGUCAGUGGAGAAGGAAAAAACCCAUACCUAUCCUACCAGCCAAUGAUCACCACAAACUACAAAAUUAUCAUAUAUACUUAACUGGAACAUAAUGUAGUUUCUCUUUCUAUUUUUAGCCAGAAAAUAAAAGCCUUUUAUUUAUUUGUUUAUUUAUUUAU
rnacentral:lncRNA from 1 species